rnacentral:rRNA from 1 species
GAUCCUGACUCAGGAUGAACGCUAGCUACAGGCUUAACACAUGCAAGUCGAGGGGCAGCGGGAUUGAAGCUUGCUUCAAUUGCCGGCGACCGGCGCACGGGUGAGUAACGCGUAUCCAACCUUCCGUACACUCAGGGAUAGCCUUUCGAAAGAAAGAUUAAUACCUGAUGGUAUGAUGAGAUUGCAUGAUAUCAUCAUUAAAGAUUUAUCGGUGUACGAUGGGGAUGUCG